AAUUAGAGACAUUUACAGCCAAUUGCAUUGAGUGUGUAGGUAAGGCCAAUUGUUUAUUGCUUCUAAUUGUUAUACGCUAAUAUUUAUCUAUUCGGAAUGUGCAAGCUUGAAUAAACUGUUAUGGUCCUUAUGGUGGGAUUCUCCCUGUGUUUUUGAGAAUGUCGUUGUUUUUAGAAUAUACGAUAUUUCAGGGGCGUAGCUAGAAAGAAACGAUGUGGAAGCAAC
rnacentral:lncRNA from 1 species